AUUGAACGCUGGCGGCAGGCCUAACACAUGCAAGUCGAACGAGUGGCGGACGGGUGAGUAAUGUCUGGGAAACUGCCUGAUGGAGGGGGAUCACUACUGGAAACGGUCGCUAAUACCGCCUACCAUCUGAUGUGCCCAGAUGGGAUUUGCUAGUAGGUGGGGUAAAGGCUCACCUGGGCGACGAUCCCUAGCUGGUCUGAUAGGAUGACCAGCCACACUGGAACUGAGACACGGUCCAGACUCCUACGGGAGGCAGCAGGGGGGAAUAUUGCACAAUGGGCGCAAGCCUGAUGCAGCCAUGCCGCGUGGAUGAAGAAGGCCUUCGGGUGGGAAAGUACUUUCAGCGGGGAGGCGUUACCCGCAGAAGAAGCACCGGCUAACUCCGUGCCAGCAGCCGCGGUAAUUC
rnacentral:rRNA from 1 species